rnacentral:lncRNA from 1 species
GGCCCCCGCGCCCGUGGCAGAACUGUGAGUGCUCGCUCUGGGGCAGAACUGCGAAGAGCAGAGAACCUCCCGAGUCCACGCUGCGGGGGUCUCAGGCCCUCCUUCCCGAAGGUGGCUGCCUUGCGGGCAGCAUCCCACAGGCUGUGCAAGGUGUCCGGGAGCGCUUGGCUCCUCCUCUUCCCGGAGAGUCAGCCCUGGUGUGAAAGCUACUACCUCAAGACAUAAGAGUUUGACAUUGCCGAUGUCUCUUCUUGGUACCCAAGGCCACAGAUUUUCCAAGUGGGACACAGAGACCUCAACUUGUUGAGUUAGAAG